rnacentral:rRNA from 1 species
UACGAAGGGUGCAAGCGUUAAUCGGAAUUACUGGGCGUAAAGGGUGCGUAGGCGGUUAGUUAAGUCUGUUGUGAAAUCCCCGAGCUCAACUUGGGAAUUGCAAUGGAUACUGGCAGGCUGGAGUAUGGUAGAGGAAGGUGGAAUUCCCGGUGUAGCAGUGAAAUGCGUAGAGAUCGGGAGGAACACCAGUGGCGAAGGCGGCCUUCUGGACCAAUACUGACGCUCAUGCACGAAAGCGUGGGGAGCAAACAGG